UGGUGGAGUGAUCUGUCUGGUUUAUUCCGAUAACGAACGAGACCUCAGCCUGCUAAAUAGUCGGCGGAUCGCUUCGAUGCGUACGACUUCUUAGAGGGACUAUUCGUAUCUAGCGAAUGGAAGUGUGAGGCAAUAACA
rnacentral:rRNA from 1 species